rnacentral:rRNA from 1 species
CGAAAGAGUAGCUAAUACCGCAUGACAUCUACGAAUGAAAGCAGGGGACCUUCGGGCCUUGUGCUACUAGAGCGGCUGAUGGCAGAUUAGGUAGUUGGUGGGGUAAAGGCUUACCAAGCCUGCGAUCUGUAGCUGGUCUGAGAGGACGACCAGCCUAACUGGGACUGAGACACGGCCCACACUAAUACGGGAGGCAGCAGUGGGGAAUUUUGGACAAUGGGCGAAAGCCUGAUCCAGCAAUGCCGCGUGCAGGAUGAAGGCCCUCGGGUUGUAAACUGCUUUUGUACGGAACGAAAAGCCUGGGGCUAAUAUCCCCGGGUCAUGACGGUACCGUAAGAAUAAGCACCGGCUAACUACGUGCCAGCAGCCGCGGUAAUACGUAGGGUGCAAGCGUUAAUCGGAAUUACUGGGCGUAAAGCGUGCGCAGGCGGUUUUGUAAGACAGUGGUGAAAUCCCCGGGCUCAACCUGGGAACUGCCAUUGUGACUGCAAGGCUAGAGUGCGGCAGAGGGGGAUGGAAUUCCGCGUGUAGCAGUGAAAUGCGUAGAUAUGCGGAGGAACACCGAUGGCGAAGGCAAUCCCCUGGGCCUGCACUGACGCUCAUGCACGAAAGCGUGGGGAGCAAACAGGAUUAGAUACCCUGGUAGUCCACGCCCUAAACGAUGUCAACUGGUUGUUGGGUCUUAACUGAC